rnacentral:rRNA from 1 species
AUUGAACGCUAGCGGGAUGCCUUACACAUGCAAGUCGAACGGAGUGGCGAACGGGUGAGUAAUGUCUCGGAACGUGCCCAGUAGCGGGGGAUAACUACGCGAAAGCGUAGCUAAUACCGCAUACUAUUGGAGCGGCCGAUAUCGGAUUAGCUAGUUGGUGGGGUAACGGCUCACCAAGGCGACGAUCCGUAGCUGGUUUGAUAGGACGACCAGCCACAGUGGGACGGAGACGUGGCACAGACUCAUACGGGAGGCAGCAGGGUGGAAUGUCGGACAAUGGGGUAACCCCUGCUCCAGCCAUCCAGCGUAUGCGAUCAAGGCCUUCGGGUUGUAAAGCACUGUUGGCGAGAAAGCGGGACCUGAAAAAUAAGCACCGGCUAACUACGGUGCAGCAGCCGCGGUAAUAC